rnacentral:ncRNA from 1 species
AAUGCAACGAGGAAGAGGUAAGUAGUUAAAUCUAAGUUGUUCAGAGAGUUGUGUCAGGUGGGAAGCAGCCAAUCUUAGUUAACAAAAAUGGCCUUAGAGUGUGAGAAAUGAUGAGUCACUGUGAUGAGUUGUUUCCGGUAGUGCCCGUUAUAGCGCUAGAGUAUCACCGCAUAAAUGCGCGUACUUAAUUUGAGUGUCCAUUUUAUUUGGACAGAACUCGGGUGGUAACACGAUGAUUAGUCGUCCCGUUG